GAGCCUAAAUACAUCAUAUUACGA
rnacentral:siRNA from 1 species